UUUUUGAGAGCUGAAUAGCAAUAAACUUUUAAUUUAUUUAUAUAGGAAAUUUUUUCUAUUCUUGCGU
rnacentral:tRNA from 1 species